GACGAACCGUGCGAACGUUAUUCGGAAUCACUGGGCUUAAAGCGCGUGUAGGCGGCCCGGCACGUCAUCGGCUGAAAUCCCCCGGCCCAACCGGGGAACGGGCCGUGAUACGACCGGGCUGGAGGGGGGUAGGGGGCGCCGGAACUCACGGUGGAGCGGUGAAAUGCGUUGAGAUCGUGAGGAACGCCCGUGGCGAAAGCGGGCGCCUGGGCCCCACCUGACGCUGAGACACGAAAACCAAAAAAGCGAACGGG
rnacentral:rRNA from 1 species